UCCAGCGGCUACAUCACCCUGCAGCUCCCAGCUGGCAGCCCACUGAAGCUCAGCAGGUGUGAGCCUGGCCAGUACCUGGAGGGGAGACCUCCAGGGAAAGCUGAGGCUGCUGCUGGAA
rnacentral:rRNA from 1 species